UACGGGGGGGGCAAGCGUUGUUCGGAAUUACUGGGCGUAAAGGGCUCGUAGGCGGUGUGUCAAGUCAGGCGUGAAAGCCCCGGGCUCAACCUGGGAACUGCAUUUGUGACUGCAUCGCUGGAGUACGGCAGAGGGGGAUGGAAUUCCGCGUGUAGCAGUGAAAUGCGUAGAUAUGCGGAGGAACACCGAUGGCGAAGGCAAUCCCCUGGGCCUGUACUGACGCUCAUGCACGAAAGCGUGGGGAGC
rnacentral:rRNA from 1 species